rnacentral:rRNA from 1 species
GAUUAACGCUGGCGGCGUGCAUAACACAUGCAAGUCGAACGAUGAAACUUAAAUGAUUUCUUCGGAAUGAGCUUAAGUGGAUUAGUGGCGGACUGGGGAGUAACGCGUGAGUAACCUGCCUUACACAAGGGGAUAGCCGUUGGAAACGACGAAUAAUACCCUAUGAUGUUUCUAUCUCGCAUGAGAUAUUAACCAAAGUGUUAGCGGUGUAAGAUGGACUUGCGUCUGAUGAGCUAGUUGGUGAGAAAAAAGCCCACCAAGGCAACGAUCAGUAGCCGGCUUAAGAGAGGGUACGGCCGCAUUGGGACUGGGACACGGCCCAGACUCCUACGGGAGGCAGCAGUGGGGACAUAUGCACAAUGGGGGAAACCCUGAUGCAGCGAGGCCGGGUGAUUUAGAAGGCCUUCGGGUUGUAAAAAUCUUUUGUAUAGGAAGAAAAUGACAGUACUAUACGAAUAAGGACCGGCUAAUUACGUG